rnacentral:rRNA from 1 species
GACGAACGCUGGCGGCGUGCCUAACACAUGCAAGUCGAACGGAAAGGCCCUGCUUUUGUGGGGUGCUCGAGUGGCGAACGGGUGAGUAACACGUGAGUAACCUACCCUUGACUUUGGGAUAACUUCAGGAAACUGGGGCUAAUACCGGAUAGGAGCUCCUGCUGCAUGGUGGGGGUUGGAAAGUUUCGGCGGUUGGGGAUGGACUCGCGGCUUAUCAGCUUGUUGGUGGGGUAGUGGCUUACCAAGGCUUUGACGGGUAGCCGGCCUGAGAGGGUGACCGGCCACAUUGGGACUGAGAUACGGCCCAGACUCCUACGGGAGGCAGCAGUGGGGAAUAUUGCACAAUGGGCGGAAGCCUGAUGCAGCAACGCCGCGUGCGGGAUGACGGCCUUCGGGUUGUAAACCGCUUUCGCCUGUGACGAAGCGUGAGUGACGGUAAUGGGUAAAGAAGCACCGGCUAACUACGUG